AUGAUUUCACACAUCCAGCUGAUCUGGCCCCUGGCAUUCUGUGUCGCAGGUAUCAGUGGGGACAUCAUCAUGACUCAGUCUCCCCCGGUGCUGUCAGUGGGACUGGGCCAGACCGCAACACUCACCUGUACGGCCAGUCAAAGCAUUAGCAGCUACCUUGCUUGGUACCAGCAGCGAGAAGGUCAGAAACCCUCUCUCCUGAUCUAUGAUGCAACAAAUCGAUUCACAGGAGUCUCCGAGCGAUUCACCGGCAGUGGAUCAGGGACCAGUUUCACCCUGACAAUCAGCAACGUUCAGAAUGAGGAUGUCGCUGACUAUUACUGUCAGCAACGUAACAGCUGGCCGUUCACGUUCGGUCCAGGAACCAAGCUCAGACUGAGCCAUGACAACUCACAGCCCAAGCUGACACUGCUGCCCCCCUCCCUGGAGCAGGUCAAUGCCAAGGGCACUGCCACCCUGGUGUGCCUUGCCAAUCACUUCUAUCCCGAUGAGCUGGAGGUGCAGUGGAAGAAGGAUGGUGCAGUCAUUUCAGACGGGGUUCAGACCAGCAACUACCUGCGAGCUUCGGACAGCACCUACAGUGUCAGCAGCCUGCUGACCCUCUCUGGGUCUGACUGGGAGUCCAACGCUCGCUUCUCCUGUGCCCUCACCCACGUGACCCUCCCCUCUCCCCUCAGCAAGAGCAUCAGGAGAUCA